CACCAACGUUUUACGUACCCUGACUUACCCAAGUCAGACGCAAACAGGAUUGUGUUACUGUGUUUUUGUUUUAAUCUAGUUUCAUGAUAUUCAUAAAAUAGUCUGCAUACCGCCACUUAGGUAGCUCGUACAGCUCAAAAACAGCAGUAAUUCGGAAGAUAAUCAGCUCUUCGAGGAAGCCGAAGGUUUAUUAUAUGGACCCGGAAUCGCCGAUUGAUCGAUAAAUGGAAAAAUUUUGACAGCUGCAGCAGUUUUCGAUGCCUCGGAGCAGACGCUUGAAGAAAUAUUCUGCAGGGCCGCCAUUUUGUAAAAAAAAUCACGUUUCUUUACACUUUAUCAAUGUAGAAAAAAAGAUGUUAAAAUUAAU